rnacentral:lncRNA from 1 species
GUCUUUCCAAAGUUUUGGAAAAUUUACAUUAGUCUUCUGUAAAGAUUACUUAAUAUUAAUUUAAUACCAUUAGGAAAAAUAUAAUUAAAGCAAUAAAACAGUCAUAUUUUUUUGAGUGGCUAGCACUUAGAGAAAGAAUACACAUACAUAUGAUCCACCAGCAGAUUCUUCACUCCACACAAUCUAAAAGAAGUUUUGUAAGAGUGUUGUUGCAUGCUAUAUCAGUUGCAUAUUUAUCACUUCACACUAGUUUUGUACUUUGCUAUUCAAAACAUAAUCAUAAUAUAUCAUUCCCCCUAUCUGAAAUAUCUAUCUCUACUUUUGUUUUUAACAGAAGACAUAAAGAGUGUAGUCAGUUACUUAACCUUUAGAAAAAUGAAACACAUAAAAAAAGUACAAAAAUAUAAGAAAUAUAAGGAUUCUGCCAGAAGUAUGACAGGCCACUAGCAGAAAAGAGAUAUCACCAUUUAGUGUCUCUUAUGACACAUUGAUGAAAUAAUAUGUCAUUCAUAUUCACUUCACUCAAAUAAUUUUAAUGCCUUCCAUACUUUAUUCAGGUGUCACUCACAUCACUAUCUGGACCAACAUAUGAGCCGUUUAUUUUGAAAGUGGCCUAAGUCCAUUUAUCUUCAAAUCGAGAUAUUUAAGGAUUUGCGUUUCAAUGAAUUUAAAAAUAUACAUAUAGGAUACUAAUGAGUCAUACUGCUUAAGUGUAUCUAAGGGUGUUAAAUUUAUAGUUCCUAUUAAAAUAGUGGCAAUUAUUAAGUGAAUAAUAUGCGUUUUCUUAUCAAGAAUGGAGUUAGGCCACUUUCAAAAUUAACAACCAGAUUCAUUAUAAAAUUUGAAGGUGCCCAAGUCCAUUCAACAUAA